rnacentral:rRNA from 1 species
UACAUGGGGUGCAAACGUUGCUCGGAAUUAUUGGGCGUAAAGCGCGCGUAGGCGGUCCGUUAAGUCGGAUGUGAAAUCCCUCGGCUCAACCGAGGAAGUGCAUCCGAAACUGGCGGGCUUGAGUACGAAAGAGGGUCGCGGAAUUCCCGGUGUAGAGGUGAAAUUCGUAGAUAUCGGGAGGAACACCGGUGGCGAAGGCGGCGACCUGGGUCGAUACUGACGCUGAGGUGCGAAAGCGUGGGGAGCAAACAG